GAUGAACGCUGGCGGCGUGCCUAAUACAUGCAAGUCGAGCGAACAGACGAGGAGCUUGCUCCUCUGACGUUAGCGGCGGACGGGUGAGUAACACGUGGAUAACCUACCUAUAAGACUGGGAUAACUUCGGGAAACCGGAGCUAAUACCGGAUAAUAUAUUGAACCGCAUGGUUCAAUAGUGAAAGACGGUUUUGCUGUCACUUAUAGAUGGAUCCGCGCCGCAUUAGCUAGUUGGUAAGGUAACGGCUUACCAAGGCGACGAUGCGUAGCCGACCUGAGAGGGUGAUCGGCCACACUGGAACUGAGACACGGUCCAGACUCCUACGGGAGGCAGCAGUAAGGAAUCUUCCGCAAUGGGCGAAAGCUUGACGGAGCAACGCCGCGUGAGUGAUGAAGGUCUUCGGAUCGUAAAACUCUGUUAUUAGGGAAGAACAAAUGUGUAAGUAACUAUGCACGUCUUGACGGUACCUAAUCAGAAAGCCACGGCUAACUACGUG
rnacentral:rRNA from 1 species